rnacentral:rRNA from 1 species
UAAACACUGGUAGCACAAUACACACGCUGCCCGCCCGGGAACUACGAGCAUCAGCUUAAAACCCAAAGGACUUGGCGGUGCUUAAGAUCCCCCUAGAGGAGCCUGUUCUAGAACCGAUAACCCCCGUUCAACCUCACCCUCCCUUGUUCUUUUCCGCCUAUAUACCGCCGCCGUCAGCUUACCCUGUGAAGGGUCUACAGUAAGCAAAAUUGGCACUGCCCAAAACGUCAGGUCGAGGUGUAGCGUAUGAGAGGGGAAGAAAUGGGCUACAUUCCCUGAUACAGGGCAUACGGAUAGUAAAAUGAAAAUGUUACUUGAAGGAGGAUUUAGUAGUAAGUAAAGAGUAGAGAGCUUUACUGAAAUCGGCCCUAAAGCGCGUACACACCGCCCGUCCACUCUCCCCAAGCUAUAAGUUUAAGUUAAAUAAAAAAUGUAAAAUGCAAAGGGGAGGCAAGUCGUAACAUGGUAAGGGUACCGGAAGGUGCCCUUGGACUAAC